rnacentral:lncRNA from 1 species
UCAACAAGGGAAAAAACAAGAAAGACCACAGCUUGACAGGAGUAUCAGGGAGAGAUCUAUAUUAUCACUAGAUGACAGUUAUGAAGAUUAUCUCAGCAUAAAUUCAGAGUAUGAGAACCUAGACGAGAGCCUAGCUGCAACACAGAACGAUGAUGACAGCCAAGAAGAUCGUCCACAGCACAGACCACCACAUCCAGGAGGCCACCACAACCAAACUCGCCCACCUCCUCAUGGAAACCACCAGCGACCACCACCUCCACAGAAGGGCACUAAACCCCCUCCUCCAGAAAAGGACGAAGAGUAUGAGAACCUAGACGAGAGCCUAGCUGCAACACAGAACGAUGAUGACAGCCAAGAAGAUCGUCCACAGCACAGACCACCACGUCCAGGAGGCCACCACAACCAAACUCGCCCACCUCCUCAUGGAAACCACCAGCGACCACCACCUCCACAGAAGGGCACACGACCACCACCGAAGGGCACUAAACCCCCUCCUCCAGAAAAGGAAGAAGGUUAGCCAUAAUGACCUUCGGGAAAGGCUGUCCAGAUACCUCUAGAAAGCAAAAAAACAACUGAGCAUGGGGGCCAACUCCAAUAAAGAAUCAAAAGGGGUCA